CCCGCUGCUGACCAUGCUACUGCGAUGGCUGUCAUCGCCUCUGCUCGUCCGCGUGGACACCGUCCUCGAGUCGCCUCCGCAGCAUGCCCAUGAGGUUUUAAAUCGUCCGCCUCAUCGUCUUCACCAACUGGAUCCAGCAGGGAGCCACCACAACUUCGACAUCGACCUCGUCUUCAUCUUCGGCCACCAGAGCUCUGCCGCGUCAAUCCACUGCACUGCCUCUCCUAAGCUUUCGCCGGGCCGCCGUAUGCCUUCGCGGUGAGCUCAUCAUCCGAUUCCCCUCUUUCUUCCUUUGUUUUAGUCGUCGUAGCCCGUCGUUCCACCGCCAUGGCCGGAGCUCGCGAACGCCAUAUGCGCCCAGCCGCCGUUGGCUGCGCCCUAGGCCAUGCACGCACGCGCGCCCGUUCUCCACGCCCGCGCCCUCUGACUCCCGUCGCUCCUUUCCCUGCCAGCCCCGGCCGCGCUCCUUGCCCGUUGCUGCCAUUCCUCUGUUGUUCUCUCGCUGCUGCUCUUGCAUACUGCUGCUUCUCUGCCUACUGUGCUGCUGCGUGCUGCUCUAAGCUGCCACUGCUUCUGCAUGACGUGCUGCCGCUGCUACUAAUUACUACUGCCGCUGCCGUGCGCUGCUUGCUGCUGCUGGUGGCCAUGGCCAUGGCCAUGGCUAGCAUGUGUGUGCGCGUGCUGUGUGUGUUGAGUGCGUACGUGUUGUGUGUGCGUGCUCUGUGUGUGUGCAGCAUGUGUGUGCGCGUUGUGCAUGCGUGCAGUGUGUGCGUACAGUGCGUAUGUGCGCUGAGUGUGUGGCCGCGCCCACCACCGGCCUCGCCCGCCUUCGGCUGGCCUUGCCGUGCCGCUGCUGCCACUCCCUCUUGCUGCUCUUCCGGCUGCACUGGGCUGCUGCUCCGCUGCUACAGUAAUGUUCAGUUACUGUAGCAGUAGCCAGCUUUGCAACUUUAACACUAACGAGCCCUCUUGACAGCCCCUAAACAACAACUAAACAAAAGUUAAUAUGAGUAAAAUUCAUAUGGGCCUGUAGUACACUUGACAGGGUUCAAUACAAAAGUCACCUAGAUUAAUUCCUAUGAAAAUGACAAAAGUCUAUGUUCAGUUAACAGAAAAGGCUGAAAAUAGAGUUAUUGUGUUAGCUACUUUAGAGCAGAAAAUAAACAGGAUACAGGGUUCUAACAGAGAUGCAAUUGACACCAUCCUGUAGAUCACAGAAAAUUGGUCAAGAUUGGUAUUAGGUACCAAUUCAUAAGAUGGGCAGAACACUAGUUAUAGCCUCUGGAAAACAGCCAAGUGAGGUUUAAAGACUGAACUAUUCUCAGACUUAGCCAAUUUUCAGGAUUUCCAAAUAAUUAUUUAAAUCUUCGAAAAUUCAUAGAAAAUAAACUAUAGCUCGGAUCGAAAAACUUUCUACAUGAAAGUUGAUCAGAAAAACAAGACGAAUCUGACCGUGCCAUCUGUUUCCUUGUCAGGACCCUCUAUGGAGGCGAACCCGCAACUUUUUGCCCGUUUCCGGUAGAUGAAUAGUGCAUACGUUAGCAUAGCAUGCUUUGUGUUGCAUAUAUUAGCUGUGUAUUUAUUUGUUUCCUUCCCAUCUUCUCUCUCGGUAGAUCUCGGUAGUGACACAGUCCCCGAGACCGACGCAGCUCCGGAGAUUGAUGACACCAUUGAUGACCCUGCCUUUGCCGCAGAGCAACCAGGCAAGCCCCCUCCCUUUGAUCAUCCCGAUAUCGUCGAUUCCAUUCUAUCAUGCUUGAAUUAGAUUUUGCUAUUGUUAUUGUUUGCUCCUAUUCUGAUGCAUAGCUUGCUUAUUGUUACCUUACCUACUUUCCUAAACUGCUUAGUACAGGUUGGUUAGUGAUCCAUCAGUGACCCCCCACCUUGUCCUUGUUCCCCUACUUCAUCAUUGAAGACCCGAUCAACGGGAUUGAAGACCAGGCCCCAACACCGCACAUCACUUUCCCCUUAGUUGCUCGACACUACUGGGUUACUAUCGAGUGCCGAGGGUGAGACUUCUACAGCACUUCUGAUGUUAACCCUGUAGUGUAGCUAUUCGGUCGUGGUCAUCGAGGGUGAUUUCCUAUUUAACCACUUCCGAAACGACUCUGUCAUGCAACCCCUCAAGUGUGGACCUCGAGGGUGGUCCCUCUUUCAUUCACCUUGAUGAUUACAUCGAGUGGAAUUCACCGGGGGUGAUUCCUCGGGUUUUCCCCUUGAUGUUUGGACACACGGAUACUUGGACUUUACAACUGUUACUUGAAAAGGCGGGUCGACCCUGAGGGGUACCCGCGAGUGAUGUGGAGACGAGUUGACCUGGAGUGUGCCCGAGAGUUGAAUACGAGGCAUGGCCGGGCAUUCUUACCCCCUGCCGCAAGUCCUCGAGACGGGGCGACGGGGUCACAUCUUUCGUGAGUCUCUGCUCGUGACCGCACUACCAACACACUAACGGUUUGGAUAUUUGAUCCAAGGGGCCUCUGGCCUGAUAGCACUAACCAUCAUGUGGGCAUAGUAUGGGCGUUCUGCGUCGUAUACAUCAGCCGAAGCUUAAUAGGAUUCAGCGACUGAGCGGCGCACGCCGGGUUGGACUGGUAAGCACCUGCCUUUUUUAAGGAGGUAGCUAGGUCUGCUCACCAGCCACCCACGCAACAUGCAGGAGUUCCCGGGGAGAUGGCCCAUGACCCCUGGGGCAUAGAUUUAGCCCGGCGUGCUGACCUCUCUGUUAAGUCUAGGUCGGGUUGCGGCAUAUUGUUUGGCCGAGGCCGGGCAUGACCCAGGAAAGUGUGUCCGGCCGGAGUUAAUCGAGCAUGGUGGGUAAGUUGGUGCUCCCCUGCAGGGAAGAAAACAUCUAUCGAUAGCCUGUCCUACGGUAACGGACACUUGGAGUUGUAUCCCGAUCGAUACAACUAGAACUGGAUACUUGAGAUGAGACUUGGAUAUGAGAUGAUAACUGGAUAGUAUGGCUCUGGGAUUGCUUUCUCGCAGGGAGUCGAGAAAGGAUCUCUAGCCGAGGUAGACAACACUACUACUACUUUACUUUAUGCUACUCUACUCCCUCCUAUUGCUGCAAGAUGGUGGUUUCCAUAAGAUGCUAGUCUUCGAUAGGACUAGGCCUUCUCUCUCUUCUAGCAUUUCUGCAGCCCAUUCCACAUAUACAACCUUCCUUUGAUAAUGUUGCAUAUGUAGUGUAGAUCCUUGCUUGCGAGUACUUUGGAUGAGUACUCACGGUUGCUUUGCUCCCCCUUUUCCCCCUUUCUUUUUCUUUCCGGUUGAUGCAACCAGAUGUCGGAGACCAGGAGCCAGAUGCCACUACCGAUGCCUACUACUACGUGGAGACCAUUGACGACCAGGAGUAGUUAGGAGGCUCCCAGGAAGUAGGCCUUGCCUUUUCGAUCGUAGAUGCUUUUGUGCUAGCCUUCUUAAGGCAAACUUGUCUAACUUAUGUCUGUACUCAGAUAUUGUUGCUUCUGCUGACUCGUUGUAUUCGAGCUUAUGUAUUCGAGUCCUCGAGGCCCCUGGCUUGUAAUAUAAAGCUUGUAUUAUUUGAAUUUGUGUCUAGAGUUGUGUUUUGAUAUCUUACAGUGAGUCCCUGAUCUUGAUCGUACACAUUUGCGUGUAUGAUUAGUGUACGAUUGAAUCAGGGGCGUCACAAGUUGGUAUCAGAGCCGACUGCUUGUAGGUAGCCCCCUUUCCAACUCCUUGGCCGAAGUUGAGUCUAGUCACUGAAAAACUUUUACUAACAUUGGUUGUGUGUCUUACGGGCCCACGUUGCCAUUGGGUGGUAUUAUGAUCUUUUACUCCUCGUCUAUACUCUGGGAUUCUGAUCUAUCUUCUAUUCGGGUUAAACAUUUUACUAACUCUGACAUUGGGUUAUCGUAACCACUUCCUCCCGGAGAGCCCCUACAUUACCGAUGAUCGCUUGCUUCACCAGAUGAUUCUGCGGAUACUCCUCGAUGUUUCCCGAGACCCUGUUCCCACUGCUUUGCAGUCCUAACCACCGAUAAGUCCCCAUGGAUACCAUCCUUGCCAUUUGUACCUUCAUCCCCAGUUGCUCUUGUUGUUACAAGUUACCCCUAACACUCUCCGUUGUUCCGAGAAUCCUUUGUGUCUUAUGCUUUGCAGCUUCUUUUCGCACUAUGGAUAACUCACUUACCCGGGGUCCGUUCCUCCCCAGUUGUUCACAUGCUUUCCAAAAUACUUUGAAAUGCUAUCUGAUCUCCCCAAAAUCCUCCGUGGCCUUUUACUUUUGAUUCCCCUCGCCUGCUUGUAUUAUGGUUAAUUCCAUAUGUCUAGCGAUAUUUAUUAAAAUCCUUUGUGAUUGUCACUCUGUUCCUACGGAUUCAACGUAUGUGCGACUACUCACAAUCAUCAAUUCAUCCAUAGGAAUUUACUUUCCGGCUCAGACAUCAUUCCGGAUAUGAGCUGGUUCUUGCCCAAUCAAGAUUCGAUUGGUGUGCCUCUAAGUCUGUUCAACCUAUCCAUCUUCGAUCGGAGCAUCUGAUCUGAUACACCGAUCUAGAAAUCCAAUUUCUUUGUAUUUAAGCAUCGAAUUAUUCAGAUGUUUCCAUAAACCAAUGCCCUUGCAUUUCUUCUUCUUCUGGUUGGAUGCUAAUACUCACAUCAACUCCGUCGUGAAUCGCCAGAUCCAUUGUUGGAUUGUAUCCGACAGUGUCCAUCGCAUUCAAAAACCUCGAGAGUUCUUCCCCUUAUACAUGAUGCCUUUGGCAAAUUGUAUCCUCUCCUUACAUUCGAGUUUGUGUUAUUUACUCCUAAACACUGCGGUGUAGGUUCCUAAGAUGUCCCAAUGGGUUGAACCUAUGCUUUUCCUAAUCCAUGUGAACUCGAAAGUUAUGCGAGUCAUACUCUUCUGGUGCUUCACCAGAUAAAUCUUUAACACUACAACUUCAUCAAAAGCAAGAAGUGAAUGAAAGGUUAUGCAUUGAAGAAGUGGGAGUCGACCUUGAACUUAGUGUUCAUGCCCAUGGACCCGAUGUGGAACUUAUCAUGGAAGCUUCUUAUGAUAAUAAUAAUCCCCUUGUUAUAAGUUCAUCUGGUAUCUAUGUUUGGUCCUUUGCAAUCGUGGUUCUGACCAUGAUUGUUCCCCUUUGAUUCCAUUUCUCGGACUAGUUAAAGUACUUGUCUUCUGCAGAUGACUACACAUGUCCAAACUCUAUUAUGCCCUAUCUUUGAGUAUUACCCUCUAGUAUCUCGAGGAUAUCAUGCAUUGCACUACAUCUAAUGAACUUUUGAUGAAGUACUACCUUACCCUGUCUUAGUCACUUCAUGGGUUCUGGGUUGUCUUCAACCGAGACCACCAAACAAUGAAUCUAUUCUGCUCAGUGAUUCAGCACUCCUAGUACUUUGUUGCUGGGGAGUUGGAUACUCCAUCACAUCAUUCCUAGCCUGAUCGGCUAUAUUUUUAUCGUGUCAACUUUUAACUAUGCUACCUGGUCCUUAUGCCCGGAGCAACUUUCGACGAUGAGCUAAGCUUACAUUGAUCUUUCUCGUCAUAUCAUUUCACCUUGAACAGAAAGUUUGAUUUCGACUUUGUGUCGUACUCAUGGUUCCAAUAGCCUUUCGCUUCGUCCUUCCUGUUACUUGAUGGCAUCUUCAUAGAGCCUCUCGACAAAGGCGUCUUGAUCAGCAUCAACAUUUUGACUUCUGUUGAAAUGGCAAUUGAAUUCAUGGUUAGAAAUACCAUCCUUGACCUUCAAUGAUUUGAGUUAUCAUUGACAACCCCCCUUGUCUUCUUUCCAACACAUGUUUGGUCAUGUAUUGGUUAUACCUUGGACUACUUGUUAUUCCUGCAAUUGUUCUUUGAGUAUUUCUUGUGAUCUUCAACUCCAAUCCCUACUUGGAACACCAUGUUAAUGCUACCUCUAAGCAUGGCUGUGGUAUUCCGAAUAUCAACAAGAACAUUGGAAGCACAUUGUCGAAUGUUUCUUGAUCUAUUAUCCAAACACCGUUGUAUGUGUAAUAUCAUGAUUCUUCCCUCACCCCCUUUAUCUAAAUGCUUUUGAACUUGCUGUCUUAUCAUGGAUAUCAUACUCUGCUUGUCCUUGGGAAGGAUAUAUUCCUGAUAAUAGUGUUUAAACACACUUUCCUUUCCAAUGUUCUGAUUAAUCUAAUGAUCACCUUUUCUUUCCAUUGUUUUGUUUAACCUUUCUUGUGGUUUGUGAGAUCUAAGCAGUAAUAGUUCCCUACUUAUGGAAACACCUCGGUGUACAACUCUGUCAGUAAGACCCUGCUACUAUUGUUGAUGAUGUUCCGAACCACCAACGGACGAGAACUUUGCCUAUUGGUCCACCUCGUCUUACGAGCAGGAAAAUAGUUCUCUUCGUCCCUCGCCCUUGGUACCAACGUUGUUGGCAACAUAACUGACAGUCUAUCAUCUGACAUGCCUUGCUAUGACCCCCCUUUCUACUUUUAACCCACAUGGUGGGCCCAUAACCCACAGGUCCUAGGAUCAGAACCUUACUCUCCUGUAUAUCUUUGAUUCCAAAAUAUUCUUGCAUUUGGAUUCGUAUCAUGUCACGAGCCACCUUUCGAGAGAUGGUCUAUUCCGAUGCUCUGAACCCCUUUGUCACACUUUGGUCAGGUAUCAAUCGUUUGCCCAUUUGUUUGAAACUUCCUAUUGUACCUUCAUACUUUGCUCUCGAUGUUUUAUUAAGUUUCAACUCGAGAGAUACUUCUGCCUCAUUUCCCGAAUUGUUCACCAGAUAAUUAACCCUAUAAGGUUCAGUUCUCCCGAAGUUACUCUUUACUUCCCCACUUAAAUCUCGGGACGAGAUUUCUUGUAGUGGAGGAGAUUUGUAACACCCCAGUGUCAUGUUACAGUAAUCCCCAGUUAAUGGUGCCAUGUCAUCAUGUUACUGUUGCUAAUCUUCAGUUGAUCCAAAUCAUGAUUCAAAUUCAAUUCCAAUCUAAAGUCAAAAAUUCAUAUUUGUCAGAUAUGAAAUCUAAAAUGUUCAUCUUGUGCCAAAUAAUCCCGUAACUAAUAUUGGUAGUGAAACAACAUUUUUACAAAGUGUUUGAGUGCAUUAAACUAGCUAAAAUAGUGCUUAAAACAUUUGUUUAAAUGCUUUUUAAAUAGUAAACAAAUAUAAACAUAUUUUAUUAAAGGGGCAAGUCAUUUGUGGUAGUUAAUUUAAUAAUACUAAUUUAGGGGCUAGUGUUGUAUUUUACAAAAAUAAUGAAAUAAAAAAAUAGGGAAAAUACAAACUUUAGAAAAAAGCCCACAACCACCUGCCCCUGGACGUAGGCCACCCAACCGAACCCCUCCCUUUGUCGUCUACCCCGCUACAGGAAGACGACCGAGACGACCCGAGCCGAGUCCUAGCCGGAUCGCCUCGCCGGCAAACUCCCCCCGGUGGAUAAGAUCGCCACGGCCCUCGCCUCCUCGAUCCCCUCUCCCACUCGGCCCCCACUCAUUUGCUCUCUCUCCCCUCAUCUAACCACCGCUCCCCUCCUCCAGAUCCGCCCGCUGCUGACCAUGCUACUGCGAUGGCCGUCAUCACCUCUGCUCGUGCGCGUGGACACCGUCCUUGAGUCGCCUCCGCAGCGUGUCCAGGAGGUUUUCCAUCGUCUGCCUCAUCGUCUUCACCAACUGGAUCCAGCAGGGAGCCACCACAACAUCGACAUCGACCUCGUCUUCAUCUUCGGCCACCGGAGCUCCGCCGCGUCAAUCCACUGCACUGCCGCUCCUAAGCUAUCGCCGGGCCGCCGUGUGCCUUCGCGGUGAG
rnacentral:lncRNA from 1 species